rnacentral:rRNA from 1 species
UACGUAGGGUGCGAGCGUUAAUCGGAAUUACUGGGCGUAAAGCGUGCGUAGGCGGUUCGUUAAGUCAGCUGUGAAAGCCCCGGGCUCAACCUGGGAACUGCGGUUGAAACUGGCGAACUAGAAUCUGGCAGAGGGGGGUGGAAUUCCACGUGUAGCAGUGAAAUGCGUAGAGAUGUGGAGGAACACCGAUGGCGAAGGCAGCCCCCUGGGCUGAGAUUGACGCUCAGGCACGAAAGCGUGGGGAUCAAACAGG